rnacentral:lncRNA from 1 species
GGAGAUGUUAUCCAUAGGAGCCUAGUGGGAGUCAGACAGCAUAUUACCUAAACAGCACAGUUAACAAUGGGCGAGGGCGAUGCUCCCCUGACGUCUGCCUUCCCCAGACACCUCUCAGCAGCUCCUCGGAGCUGCCCAGCAGCCACAGCUCCGGGUUUGCAAGGCUUAGCUGAAGAGAUGAUGUGGCAUUGGCCAAAAUAAAAAGAACACCAUUUCUGCUCUACACUGUCCUUCUUGAAUACCUGACAGACGACUCACCAUCCAGGACGGACCGAGCGCACUGUGAGACCCUCCGCAGCCUCCCUGAAGUGCUGCCAGACAGCAGAGUGCUCCGCGCCCCGCCUGUGCCUCACCUGGACCACUUGCUGCUCCAGAUCUUAACCAUCUUUGUUUCCUCAGUGCUUAAUACUGUACUUCCUAUCAUAGGAGUUCAUUCUGUUGUUUGGCAAAGGACAAAUCCUCUACAAGGGUUGUUAAGUACACUAGUUCCAAAAGUGACAGGAACUCUGUUUAAGUGGCCACCUAUGUUACAUCAGACACCUUCUCCACUCAGUGGGACACCUGUACUGUCAGAGGGCCACUUAGCUAAAUGUGAAAGCAGUUUAGAGUUUAUCCAUUUACGCAUAAUUCCUCUGUUUCUUUCAUUUUCUAUUGUGAAUCUAUGAUUUUAUUAAAUUUAAUAUAUACUUAUAACCUGAUAGAUUUUCUACUCCAUAGUAACUAUGUUAAAUAAUUUUCUCUUCUUUACCAUUUUUCUUUUUUUGUUUCCAAAGAGGAACUGGUGGCUGGACCCUACUUGUGUCAAAUAAAUACCACAGGGUGCAGAUUGACCUUGAAGAGAGAAUGGCAGUCACUGCUGUGGCCCCCAGGGAGCACACGGGAACUCUGACUGGGCACCAGCUGCAUCCUGGUGUUCAGUGACAGUGGGAGGAGCUGGAAGCAGUAGCAAGGAGAAGAAAGUAUCUGGGUACAUUUUCUAAUAUAAUAAUUGUACAUGUUGAUUCCAACCUAUUAGAGAAACAGAAUCUGAAGAAUUACUUAGGAAAAGUUUUCUAAGUGAAAGUAAGGUACAUUCUUCAUUGAAAAUAUUGAAAAGGAUUUCUCUGCUUUUAAAUACUGUGAAAGUCUAAGAAUAACACAAGUCAUGUACCAUUUUUCUCUUGUUUUGUUCAAUAAAUGAUUUGGC